rnacentral:rRNA from 1 species
GCGCCAGACUCCUACGGGAGGCAGCAGUAGGGAAUUUUGCGCAAUGGGCGAAAGCCUGACGCAGCAACGCCGCGUGAUUGAUUAAGCCCUUCGGGGUGUAAAGAUCUGUCAGUGGGGACGAAACUUGACGGUACCCACAGAGGAAGCACCGGCUAACUACGUGCCAGCAGCCGCGGUAAUACGUAGGGAGCGAGCGUUGUCCGGAAUUACUGGGUGUAAAGGGAGCGUAGGCGGGCGAGAAAGCUGAAUGUUAAAUCUACCGGCUUAACUGGUAGCUGCGUUCAAAACUUCUUGUCUUGAGUGAAGUAGAGGCAGGCGGAAUUCCUAGUGUAGCGGUGAAAUGCGUAGAUAUUAGGAGGAACACCAGUGGCGAAGGCGGCCUGCUGGGCUUUAACUGACGCUGAGGCUCGAAAGCGUGGGGAGCAAACAGGAUUAGAUACCCCAGUAA